GAAAGCUCGUAAAAAUUAGUUAUGUGCUACAUGGCAUUUCAGUCACUGGCAUAGCCUCUUCUUCUGGAAGAUUCACCAUGAUUCACCAAGAUUCUUGAUGUGAACCCUGGACUGUGGUGUGACAGUCGUGCACUUUGUACGCCCACCAUCACUCCCCCAACCAUGUUACAUAAACGCAGUGUCUUAAAAAACGUCUCUGAACAAAAACCCAUCGGCUCCUUCCAGGCCAGAAGCCAAACCUUCUGCCAAGCUGAACAAAAUCCAGCCACCUUGAAGAAGAAAGCCAAUGGAGUGACCCACUUACUGAGAGAGAGAGAGAGGCUCUGUGCCAUUUCUGGUGACUAAUACCCCCUCCACCCACACCUCAACACACACACACACGCGCACACACAGAGCUGUAUUGGUGUGUUCGCUGUCUUGUUGUUUCUCUGUGUUUCUGCUCUCUGAUGAUUCUGUUUGUUAAAAAUAAAGACGUUUGUGAAUAAAUG
rnacentral:lncRNA from 1 species